UACGUAGGGACCGAGCGUUAUCCGGAUUCAUUGGGCGUAAAGAGCUCGUAGGCGGCUAUUCAAGUCGCACGUGAAAUCUCGGGGCUCAACUCCGAGCCUGCGUUCGAUACUGGGUAGCUAGAGUCUGGUAGGGGGAUCUGGAAUUCCUGGUGUAGCGGUGGAAUGCGCAGAUAUCAGGAGGAACACCGGUGGCGAAGGCGGGAUCCUGGGCCAGUACUGACGCUGAGGAGCGAAAGCGUGGGGAGCAAACGGG
rnacentral:rRNA from 1 species